CAGGACGAACGCUGGCGGCGUGCCUAACACAUGCAAGUCGAACGGACGAGGGGAGCUUGCUCCCCAAGUUAGUGGCGGACGGGUGAGUAACACGUGAGCAACCUGCCCUUCGGAGGGGGACAACAGCGGGAAACUGCUGCUAAUACCGCAUAAUGUAUUUUGGAGGCAUCUCCGGGAUACCAAAGAUUUUAUCGCCGAAGGAUGGGCUCGCGUCUGAUUAGAUAGUUGGUGGGGCAACGGCCCACCAAGUCUGCGAUCAGUAGCCGGACUGAGAGGUUGAACGGCCACAUUGGGACUGAGAUACGGCCCAGACUCCUACGGGAGGCAGCAGUGGGGAAUAUUGGGCAAUGGGGGCAACCCUGACCCAGCAACGCCGCGUGGAGGAAGAAGGCUUUCGGGUUGUAAACUCCUUUGACGAGGGACGAUGAUGACGGUACCUCGAAAACAAGCCACGGCUAACUACGUGCCAGCAGCAGC
rnacentral:rRNA from 1 species